CAUAGCCCUUCUCCUUAUCCAUCUCCUAGUUCCAGCCUGAGGGAGCCAUUACCAUUGAGACUGCUGUUGUUGUGAUUUGGUGCCAUUGGAUUCCAGUGCUGUCUAUAUCUGUUGGAGAUUCCUCUGAUCAGCCAGCUGGUUUGCUGCAGAAUACCAGCCCAUCUCUAUUGGCACAAUAGAGUGCCAUCGCUUUUGGCGUCUAGAGGAAAACCCGGGCACUGGGCUAUUAAAUGUGAAUGAAGAGGAUGAGACAGUUGACAUGAAUAGUCAUCAGACUGAAAUACAUUGGUCCCUCCCUGCCGAUGAAGAUAAUGCUG